rnacentral:tRNA from 1 species
CAGGAUGUAGCUUAUAUGAAAAGCUUUUUAUUUACAUUAAAAUUAAAAUUAAUUAUUUUUUCUGA